rnacentral:rRNA from 1 species
GCGAGCUUGCCUAGAUGAUUUUAGUGCUUGCACUAAAUGAAACUAGAUACAAGCGAGCGGCGGACGGGUGAGUAACACGUGGGUAACCUGCCCAAGAGACUGGGAUAACACCUGGAAACAGAUGCUAAUACCGGAUAACAACACUAGACGCAUGUCUAGAGUUUGAAAGAUGGUUCUGCUAUCACUCUUGGAUGGACCUGCGGUGCAUUAGCUAGUUGGUAAGGUAACGGCUUACCAAGGCAAUGAUGCAUAGCCGAGUUGAGAGACUGAUCGGCCACAUUGGGACUGAGACACGGCCCAAACUCCUACGGGAGGCAGCAGUAGGGAAUCUUCCACAAUGGACGAAAGUCUGAUGGAGCAACGCCGCGUGAGUGAAGAAGGGUUUCGGCUCGUAAAGCUCUGUUGGUAGUGAAGAAAGAUAGAGGUAGUAACUGGCCUUUAUUUGACGGUAAUUACUUAGAAAGUCACGGCUAACUACGUGCCAGCAGCCGCGGUAAUACGUAGGUGGCAAGCGUUGUCCGGAUUUAUUGGGCGUAAAGCGAGUGCAGGCGGUUCAAUAAGUCUGAUGUGAAAGCCUUCGGCUCAACCGGAGAAUUGCAUCAGAAACUGUUGAACUUGAGUGCAGAAGAGGAGAGUGGAACUCCAUGUGUAGCGGUGGAAUGCGUAGAUAUAUGGAAGAACACCAGUGGCGAAGGCGGCUCUCUGGUCUGCAACUGAC